GGACGUGUGGCCCAAUGGCAAGGCGCUUGACUACGAUUCGUUCGGUAAUCAAGAGAUUCCAGGUUCGACCCCUGGCACGUUCA